UCUUAUGGAUGAGCAAAGAAAGUGGUUCCUUGAGGUGAAAUCUACUCCUAGUGAAAGUGCUGUGAA
rnacentral:pre_miRNA from 1 species